rnacentral:rRNA from 1 species
GAGAUGAGUUUUCCCUGGCGCUAUAAGCGUCCUAAAGGGUUGUCGUAGACUACGACGUUGAUAGGCAGGGUGUGUAAGUGCUGCGAGGCAUUGAGCUAACCUGUACUAAUUGCCCGUGAGGCUUAACCAUACAACACCCAAGGGGUUU